rnacentral:rRNA from 1 species
ACGCUGACGGAAUGCUUAACACAUGCAAGUCAACUUGAAUUUGGGUUUUUAACUUAGAUUUGGGUGGCGGACGGGUGAGUAACGCGUAAAGAACUUGCCUCACAGCUAGGGACAACAUUUAGAAAUGAAUGCUAAUACCUGAUAUUAUGAUUUUAAGGCAUCUUAGAAUUAUGAAAGCUAUAAGCACUGUGAGAGAGCUUUGCGUCCCAUUAGCUAGUUGGAGAGGUAACAGCUCACCAAGGCGAUGAUGGGUAGCCGGCCUGAGAGGGUGAACGGCCACAAGGGGACUGAGACACGGCCCUUACUCCUACGGGAGGCAGCAGUGGGGAAUAUUGGACAAUGGACCGAGAGUCUGAUCCAGCAAUUCUGUGUGCACGAUGAAGUUUUUCGGAAUGUAAAGUGCUUUCAGUUGGGAAGAAAAAAAUGACGGUACCAACAGAAGAAGUGACGGCUAAAUACGUGCCAGCAGCCGCGGUAAUACGUAUGUCACGAGCGUUAUCCGGAUUUAUUGGGCGUAAAGCGCGUCUAGGUGGUUAUGUAAGUCUGAUGUGAAAAUGCAGGGCUCAACUCUGUAUUGCGUUGGAAACUGUAUAACUAGAGUACUGGAGAGGUAAGCGGAACUACAAGUGUAGAGGUGAAAUUCGUAGAUAUUUGUAGGAAUGCCGAUGGGGAAGCCAGCUUACUGGACAGAUA